UACGAAGGGGGCUAGCGUUGCUCGGAAUCACUGGGCGUAAAGGGUGCGUAGGCGGGUCUUUAAGUCAGGGGUGAAAUCCUGGAGCUCAACUCCAGAACUGCCCUUGAUACUGAGGAUCUUGAGUUCGGGAGAGGUGAGUGGAGCUGCGAGUGUAGAGGUGAAAUUCGUAGAUAUUCGCAAGAACACCAGUGGCGAAGGCGGCUCACUGGCCCGAUACUGACGCUGAGGCACGAAAGCGUGGGGAGCAAACAGG
rnacentral:rRNA from 1 species